GAUGAACGCUGACAGAAUGCUUAACACAUGCAAGUCUUUGGUGAAGCUGUGCUUGCACAGCCUAGCCAAGGCGGACGGGUGAGUAACGCGUAAGGAACUUGCCCUGCAGUCAGGGAUAACAGACGGAAACGACUGAUAAGACCUGGUAAAGUCAGGCGGACUCAUGUCCAGCCUGAUGAAAAGAGAUGCUGCAGGAGAGCCUUGCGUCCUAUUAGCUUGUUGGUGGGGUAACGGCCCACCAAGGCAAUGAUAGGUAGCCGGCCUGAGAGGGUGGACGGCCACAAGGGGACUGAGAUACGGCCCUUACUCCUACGGGAGGCAGCAGUGGGGAAUAUUGGACAAUGGGGGCAACCCUGAUACAGCAAUUCUGUGUGCACGAUGAAGGUUUUCGGAUUGUAAAGUGCUUUCAGCAGGGAAGAAAAAAAUGACGGUACCUGCAGAAGAAGCGACGGCUAAAUACGUG
rnacentral:rRNA from 1 species